CAUUCCCAGCCUGAGUGACAGAUCAGUGGCCCAUCUCUAAAUAAAGGUCUAGGUUCCAUGUGUCACCAGGACCAGGGCUCAGUGGGUGACCAGGACCAGGGCUCGUCUGGGGUGAGGUGCUUUACUUCUAUUAGGACUAAGUAUUACUUCUGCCUUUAUGGCUCAGUCUAGGACAGACCUUCGGCCUGGCCCCAGCUGCCAUCAGACAGGGGCAGGAUUGGGAGCUGGUCCUGGAACUAGGACUCACUCUUGGGGUGGGUUUAUGGUCCCAAGGGAAGGGGAGAAGGAGGAUGGAGGGUUCGGAAGGAAUAUCUGGGGGGUGAAGAUGUUCAGAUGAGAGAUGGCCCCACCAUCAGAGGGAUGCCAACUCCAGGGAAGAUGAAUGGGGCCUCCCUUGUGCCUCGGUCUGCAAAAAGACAGGGUCAUUUAGCUUGGGAUCGACCUCUGGAUGAAGCAGUCCCAUCGCUUGACGCUGCCUUUCCUGUGGUAGAGCCCCCAGAGAGGUGACCUGCAGAAGGUCAGGCACGGCCUCCCGGGUCUGGCUGAGUGCGGCGUGGCCCCUUCUGAACAACUCAGGGGGUUCUCGCUUGACCUUGCAGGAAGCCCUGGUUUGAUCCUUGUAGGACUUGAAUCCGUAUCUUCAGGUCACUGGAGCCCAGAGCCUGGCACUUGAUCACACACAAAGCCCCCAUCCGUGCAUUCAUUCAUUCAACAAGCGUUUGCUAAGCUCCUGCCCUGUGCCAGGCUCUGGCUGGGCCCAGGGAUAUGGAGAGAUGAUCUUCACCUGGAGCCCUGGCCUCCAGGACGUCUGAGGCUGUGUCAGUGGGAGGGUGGGAAUUCGCCCUUUCCCGCCUCGAGCAGACGUUGGAGGGCGGAUGAGGCUCAGUGCCUGGCAGGAAGCCAACCUGAGGUUCCUCCCUUCUCUCUAGGGGGCAAGACAGGCCUGGCUCCAUGUUGAGUUACCUCAGCCAGAGCUUGGUGGUGACAUCGCAGUCCCAUGAGCCUCCUGGACACUGGCUGGGGUGGGGGCUGGUAUCUGUUGUUCCAUUGUUGCUGGAGGAAGCCCCAAGGCCAGCCACGACUCUGGUUCCCAGGACCUCGGAGGAUGGUGGCCCUGGGCCAGAAGCGGAAGAGGGGCCCUGCCUUCAGGGACACACAGAUACACCAUCUGGAGGCACACAGGCGUCUCAUCUCAUGCACAGAUACGUGCCCACCCAGGCUCACUGGUGCCCCCCGCUGCCCUGGAGAAGAGAGUCCCUGCAUUCCCACAGGAGAGGAGACCACUGGCUGCUCUCAGCCCUCCAGCCUGGGAUCCGGCCUCUGGGCGCUGUACAUGUGCUUGUGAGAGGGCACCAUAUUUUCAAAGCCGUCGCCCAGGAAGACAACCAGGUGCCCACCCCUGCUCCCGGCAUUCAGAGAUGCCCACCCCCGGGGCUGCUCAGGCACAGGAGGACUAAACAGGAGCUCCUGCCACCUGGCUCCUUGCAGGGUGGGGUGGGGGGCUGGUGCGAGGACACAUCCCCCUGAGUCCUGGGUAGGGGCUGUGUAGCCUUGCUCACUGGCAGCGAGUCGCCCGCCCCUCCUGUUUCUCCCGCUCCCUCUUCUCAGCGCCCACGUCCUCCCACCUGGCCUUUCUCUCCCCUGGAUCCUCCCCCAUGACUGGAUUUCCUUUCUCUCUCUCUGGCUCCCUGUGUCCCUGUGACCUGCUUAUCCUCUAGAAUAAAGAUCGACAUUUUCAAUUACCCCAAAAAUAACAGAGCCAUUCUUGGGGCCUGGCGGAGGAGGUCUGCACGGGCGCGGGCACAGGCACUGGUUUGCAUGUGGGGCCUGCAGGUGGCGGGGGUGGGGACGCACACAGUCCCACUGUCCUUUGUUUGCUUUUUCUCAUCUGGAGCCUUCAUUUUUUCCUGGAAGACUGGAAGCACGUUUCCCUUCAGGGGAGGAAGGGAGACAAAACAGAGAAAUAAAAACUGUCAUAGCCAUCUUGUAAACACAGUGUAGCACCAAGUGGGUGCUCGGGGGAGAGGGACAUGAGGGAGAGGCCAGGACAGAGAAAGGGGGCUGAGAGGGAUGGGGUGGGAGUCAGAAAGCAAGGUGGGAGGUGAGCAGGAGCCCCCCUCAAGGCCGGGUGGGUGGGUGUCCUGCAGGAAGGACUGAUGGGAGGGGAACGAGGCGAGGCUGAUCCAGGGCCGUGGGGGGGUUUUGAGGAGACACAGCGUCUGCUGAGUGCCAGGCAGGCCCCGGGAGGUAGGCGCCAGGCUCUGGGGGCGCUGAGGUGAGUGACAGAUAUGUCUUCGCACUCGUGGAGCAUAAAUUCUACUGGAAACAAAGCGGUGGCUUCGUGUGUUCAGCACUUACAUCAACUGAGGUUCAGAGAGGGUGGGUGACCUGCCCGACGACACACAGCCAGAAGUGAGGGGACCAGGAUCCCAGCCAGAUCCGUGUGACCACAGUCUCCUUUCACAUCGCCUCUGCUGUGGGUACACUUGGCUCUUAAGUGACCUUGAACAAGUCCUCCCCUCUCGGUCAUCAGUUUGCCCGUCUGGAAAGCAGCCAGCAUGCUGGCUCUCUGCAGGGCUGCAGGUAACAUCAGAUGUCUGGAUGUGAAGGACCCUCAGCUCUGGCUCUCUGCCGAGCUGGCUGGCGGGUGGAGGAGCAAAGACCACCAGGUGCUGGGGGAGGGACUGGCCAGCAGGGAAAGGAGGCCGGACCGCAGAUUUACUCCCUGCUGCCGCUCAGUGGCAAUAAUUGGGUACUGCAGAGGGUUGGUCUGGUCGGCCACCUUCAGUUGGCACAAGGGCCAGAGCAGAAACGCGCCUCUAGGGAGUGUUGUCUGGUCCUCCCUGGCCGCAUUUCUCGGAUGUCCAGAGAAAGGAGGGACUCCUCCUUAGGUCAUCCAGGGCAGAAGCUUGGGCUGGGCUUUCAGGGUAGGGUGCUUCCCCCCAUCCCUGUGGCACUUAAGAAGCCCCCAGUCAGUUUCAGAGCAAGAGAAACAGUUCUACAUUCUCUGCUUGAUGCCACCACCUCCAGGGAGCCUUCCAGGGUCUCCUUCAGUGGGAAGUGGCCUCACUCCUGCCCUGCAGUCCCACACUCAAACUCUCCUUGCUCCUCCUGCCCCACCCAACCAUGACUGUCCUCCUGCCCGCAGCAAAUCAGUCAGUGGAGCCCCUUGAGGCACGAGAGAUGGUGGAGAGCCAUUGUCACCACUCAGGGGGCAUGUGCCAGGGGCCCACUCUGUCCUGCGGCUCUGCCUGCGUCCUCGCACUUGAACCUCGUAAGAACCUUGCUAAGUUGGGGUUAUUUUGAGCCCCAUUUUUCAGGUGAGGGAAGGGCACAGAGAGGUUAUGACUUUUACACACAGAGUGGUGGGGCAGGGACUCAAACCCAGGUCUGUCUCUCCUCUGGAGAGGUGCCCGCAUUUGGAGGUGAAAACUACCCCCGUGGCCAUGGCAGUCCACUGUGACUGGACACUGAAAUGACCAGUCCAGGGGGCUUGUGGGCUGGGGUCUGGCUUCACCACUGUGCUGCUGGGUGACUUCCGGCAAGGCCCGUUCCUCUCUGGACCCUGGUUCCUCAUCUGUGUACUCUGUGUGUGUGUGUGUGUGUGUGUGUGUGUGUGUGUGUGUGUUCUGGGCUACCUCGGAGAUCCAUUCUGGCUUUGAGUGUGGCAUGUCCCAUCUUGGGCAGGUCCCAAGGCUUGGGCCCUGGGAGGGAAGGGUUUUGAAGGUCAUGGGGAAGGGUUGCAGAUGGCAGUGUGGGAGGCAGAGUUCUGGCUAAGAGCUGGACCCCUUGGGUGCACCUCCUGCUUGCGUGUCAGUGUGUAGGGCUGGGGAUCAAGGGGAGGUGUGGACUGUGAGGGAACGAAGGAUCCAGCUUUGGGACAGGUAUGGGGCUGGCCCAAGGGCCUGGAUGCUUCUCCCUCCGCUGCCUGCCACAGAGGGGAGUUUGUCUUGCAGAAAACAGCCUCAUCCAUCAGCGGCAAUGGGGGGCUGACAGCGGCCACUCCCCGCCAGCCCCGGCUGGAGGCAGACUCAUAAAUCCCACGCCAGGCCGGGCUGUAAAUUCCUGUGAUUCACAUGCAGCCUCCUGGAGGACUGAGACAUUUGGGGCUGUGGGGCUGGCUGUUCUCUCCCGGACAGGACAGGUGGGUACUGGGGAGAAGCCUCUUCAUGGGUCCAGCCGUCUCAGA